GCAGCCGCCGCGGUAAUACGAAGGGUGCAAGCGUUAAUCGGAAUUACUGGGCGUAAAGCGUGCGUAGGUGGUGGUUUAAGUCCGUUGUGAAAGCCCUGGGCUCAACCUGGGAAUUGCAAUGGAUACUGGGUCACUAGAGUGUGGUAGAGGGUAGUGGAAUUUCCGGUGUAGCAGUGAAAUGCGUAGAGAUCGGAAGGAACAUCUGUGGCGAAGGCGACUAUCUGGGCCAACACUGACACUGAGGCACGAAAGCGUGGGGAGCAAACAGGAUUAGAUACCCCUGUAGUCCCUGUCUCUUAUAC
rnacentral:rRNA from 1 species